rnacentral:rRNA from 1 species
CUGGUAUGUACUGGUCUCACUGAUUCCUCCUUCCUGAUGAGCCGUAAUGCCAUUUAUUUGGUGUUGCGGGGAAUUUGGACUGUUACUUUGAAAAAAUUAGAGUGUUUAAAGCAAGCUAACGCUUGAAUACAUUAGCAUGGAAUAAUGAAAUAGGACGUUCGAUCCUAUUUUGUUGGUUUCUAGGAUUGACGUAAUGAUUAAUAGGGAUAGUUGGGGGCAUUAGUAUUCAAUUGUCAGAGGUGAAAUUCUUGGAUUUAUUGAAGACUAACUACUGCGAAAGCAUUUGCCAAGGAUGUUUUCAUUAAUCAAGAACGAAAGUUAGGGGAUCGAAGACGAUCAGAUACCGUCGUAGUCUUAACCAUAAACUAUGCCGACUAGGGAUCGGAUGAUGUUAAUUUUUUAAUGACUCAUUCGGCGCCUUACG